rnacentral:lncRNA from 1 species
GAAAUCAAUAAAAAUCCCCCCCGAAUCUUUUUCUUUUCAUUUUUUUUCUUUUUCUCCUCUUUUUGCUAUCGAUUUCCACUCUUUUUGUUUGCUUUCUCUGCCUUGUUCGUUUGUUUGCAGGUGUAUGAGCGUACGACGGCCAGCUGGGACGUGGCACGGCUCAUGUGAGGCAUCGCUCGUGGUGGGCGCGCGAGGAGGCGGCUGCGGUGCUCGUGCUAAGGCUGAACGCCUAGGGUUUUCUGUUAAUUGUCUUUGGGUCAAUAGGCCAUUGGGUGUUUAGGCUAGUUGGGCUUAAUGGGCUGGGGACAUGUAUUUGGG